rnacentral:lncRNA from 1 species
CCGGCCGCCACCCGCCCGCCGGCUCCGGUGGUUGGGCGGAGGAAGCGCGGGACUCCUCCUCCCCACCGUAUUAACAUGCACCUAGGGGCGGGUGACCAGCGCAGCCUCGCCGCCCUAGCCCGCCGCUUCCCGGCGCUCAGCCUCUGCGCCAGAGGCGAGCGCUGCGCUCCGGGCGCCGCAAUCCUGAGGACACGGCCUCUUCGACACCUCCAGCCCCGGGGAAUCGGCAGUAUCAGCGGCGGGAGCGGCCGCAGCCGCCUCGGCUCCUCUCUGGAGUCCUUCCCAUCACCUCGCUGAGAGCCUGUCCCAGCCACGGGGACAUCUCUUUCGUCCUUCCUCGUCGGCUUGUGGGACCGACGGACGAAAGCGGGGACCGAGGGCCGGACCGCAGGCAGCGACAAGCACCUGGUGGACGGUGUUUCCGAGCACCUUCUGAAAUUACUACUCGCACCUUUCCUGGGACACUUUUUAAAAGGACCAGCAAGCCUCCAGUUGACGUGGCUAGAAUCCCAGAUUCAUGGAGCUGUUGCAGAGCACAUCUCAGUGGUCUCCCUAAGUCUGGCCUUCUCAUAGAAGUGCCUGUGAGCAGUGAAAUAGGGCGUAAAGUGAGCUGA